ACUUAAGUCAUUUUCUUAUUCUCACAUCUUCUUCUUCUUCGUUGUCUACCUCCACCGAAUCCUAUCCUUUCAAAAAUAAACAGCUCCUUCAAUAUUUCAUUAGUUCAUCUUAAAUCAAGUAUUUUCCUUUCAGGUUUAUGAUUUUGAUAUGGUCGAUCUUCUUUUCUUUAUUUAGGAAGUCUCAUCUGAUGUAUGCACGGAAAUCUUCUGUCCCUUUCUAGAGCUGCAGUUGUUAAUGGUGGCAGACCUAGUAUUCUAGCAAACAGUUUAUAUAUUUUGUAUACUCUGAGAUACUACUUUAUUUGGAUAAAGUUUUGAAUGGAAAUUGCGCUUUAUAACCAUUUGUACGCUUUACAAGUUAUCUAUGUUUGAACUAGUUUAAUGUGGUAUGUUGUAUAUGUGUGAAACAGGGCAGUGCAUGAGAUAUGCAAUGUUUAAGUAAGAUCCUGGUUUUCAAAGCGUUAAGCAGUGAAUUUCUGAAAGAAAAAAAAAUUCUUACAAUUAUCGUUAUGUUAUUAAAAGAAGUUUUCAGAA